rnacentral:rRNA from 1 species
AACGAACGCUGGCGGCAGGCCUAACACAUGCAAGUCGAACGCCCUAGCAAUAGGGAGUGGCAGACGGGUGAGUAACACGUGGGAACCUUCCCUAUAGUACGGAAUAGCUCAGGGAAACUUGAAGUAAUACCGUAUACGCCCGAGAGGGGAAAGAUUUAUCGCUAUAGGAUGGGCCCGCGUCGGAUUAGCUAGUUGGUGAGGUAAUGGCUCACCAAGGCGACGAUCCGUAGCUGGUUUGAGAGAACGACCAGCCACACUGGGACUGAGACACGGCCCAGACUCCUACGGGAGGCAGCAGUGGGGAAUAUUGGACAAUGGGCGCAAGCCUGAUCCAGCCAUGCCGCGUGAGUGAUGAAGGCCUUAGGGUUGUAAAGCUCUUUUAGUCAGGGAAGAUAAUGACUGUACCUGCAGAAUAAGCUCCGGCUAACUUCGUGCCAGCAGCCGCGUAAU